rnacentral:rRNA from 1 species
GACUCGUCACACUAUCAUUAACUGAAUCCAUAGGUUAAUGAGGCGAACCGGGGGAACUGAAACAUCUAAGUACCCCGAGGAAAAGAAAUCAACCGAGAUUCCCCCAGUAGCGGCGAGCGAACGGGGAGGAGCCCAGAGCCUGAAUCAGCAUGUGUGUUAGUGGAAGCGUCUGGAAAGGCGCGCGAUACAGGGUGACAGCCCCGUACACAAAAGCGCAUGUGCUGUGAGCUCGAUGAGUAGGGCGGGACACGUGGUAUCCUGUCUGAAUAUGGGGGGACCAUCCUCCAAGGCUAAAUACUCCUGACUGACCGAUAGUGAACCAGUACCGUGAGGGAAAGGCGAAAAGAACCCCGGCGAGGGGAGUGAAAAAGAACCUGAAACCGUGUACGUACAAGCAGUGGGAGCAC